UUAUAACGACUCUCGGCAACGGAUAUCUCGGCUCUCGCAUCGAUGAAGAACGCAGCGAAAUGCGAUACCUGGUGUGAAUUGCAGAAUCCCGUGAAUCAUCGAGUCUUUGAACGCAAGUUGCGCCCGAGGCCAYUUGGUCUAGGGCACGCCUGCCUGGGUGUCA
rnacentral:rRNA from 1 species